UUGCAGCAACGAUGAUUUUGUUAUUCCCAGCUCAUUAUGAGACCUGUAGAAGGUCUGGGACAUGACAUUCAUAACAUGGUCUGAGCUGUAA